GUCGGUGGCGGAGCUGCGGGGGUGUCGGUACCCGGAGAUGAUGCUCUCCUCAUGGAACACCUCCAGACAAAUAAAGAAAGAAGGAAAAGUCUUUUACAAACCUAAAGCUACCGAACAUCUGUGUCUCAUGUUGAGCCGGACUUACUUUGGGCACUUGUUUGAUGGUGAAGACGCGUGGGAAGCGGAUGAGGCUGAGCAUGGCUGCGUGGAGGAGCCGCGGCCGUCACAGAGGCGAGCUGCGCCGACGCUGCGCUCGGAGGCUGCGCGUGCGGCUUUUCAAGGUUCGCGUUGCCAUGUUCUGCAGGUUCCUCCCUCUCAAACCUGGCCAGAAAAACCUGUACCUGCGCCCCACCCCACCUGGAGGCGGCGGCGCGCGCGCACGCACGCACGCACGCGCGCGCCAGACUACUUGUCGCUUUUGUGGAUUUUCUCGGCUCAACAUUUGUGAUGUUUUCAAAACAAAGCGUUUCUAAUUGAGUGACCGCUCAGUCGGUCCAGUGGAGCGGGUUCCAGUGGGUCAGAACCGGAGCAGCUUCAAGCCCGUCCAGAACAGGCUGCCGCUGUGAAUGAGGGGCGGCGCUACUUUCUUCACGUCUCCUGAUUAAACCGACGCGUCGCCGUCAGCUCCGUCUGAGCCGCUCAGGCCUUUUAUCUAGUUCAAACAGUGAAGCAACGAACGCAAACAAAUCUCACAGCUGCCACUGGAACCCCAAAUCAUUUUUUGUUGAUAUUUGUCUAAUGUGAACAAGAAAAGCAGGAUAAUAGAAUCCUAUUUGUGGUUAUGAGCUGUUUGUGGUUUCAGGCAUCAGUAAAAGCACACGCUGACUUGAUGUGUUAACACAACAGACAACAACAGACAAGUUGACGCCUCGUCUCGCAGACUGACGCUCAACUCAAUUAUCAGCUUUGUUUCUAUUAAGACACGUUCACGGACCCACUGCGCUGCUCUGUAAACCUCACGACACGCAGGUCGACUCGAGUUCAGCUCGGAGUCGCUCCAGUUAAUGUGUGUUAAAGUCAUCGACGCGUUAGUGGCCAAGGACAAAGACACAAUAACAACACUGUCUGGAGGAAUAUGGUGAAACCGCUGGAGCUUCCAGAGUCUGCCGCUUUGGUAAAGUCAGACACAGACACACCCAAACAUGCCUUUACUGAGGAGCGCGGACGGGCGGAGUCUGCACGACUUAUAUCAUAUGUAAACAAACAGGCUGAUAGUGCGUGUCGCUUGGAUGAGUCCAAACAGAUCCGGUCCAUUCGCAGCCUCAGCUGCUGCUGUCGGCUCAUCACACGUCUCCUUCAACUCAAAUACCAUGAAAAUGACGUGAAGUGGCUUCAUUACGGUUAAUAAAGCGGCGUCAAAUACAUGAACCAGAAAAAGCUGCUCAUCAAUAGAACACAGGCCUCCACAGUCAUCAGACCUCAAGCACCACUGCCCUCAACGCUAUCAACAAAAGGAAAAAGCGAAGCGAGACAGACUACGGCGCUGACGUCAUCCAGUGGCUGCUGACACGUGCAGUGCCUCGUCUCACCACAAGGUGUCGUUGCUUUCAAGGAGAAGCAGCAAAGGUUCGUCCGCCUCGCUCAAAGCUCGCUUCUACGUUUGUAACGUAUUAACAGUUUGUUUACUUCUUUAAAUGACUUUCACGAGUUAUUUUUUUGGACCUCAGUAACACAAUAUCAAAGUAUAAUAGCAGUAAUUUGUGGGAAUGUGUUACAAAUAUAUUAUUAAACGUUACUGAAUAAAUGACUCAGGUUUUUAAACUAUGACAUUUAUUAAAGCAGAAUUCACUGUAGUAGUUGAGAUAAUUCCAACUUCAUAUAUCUCUCAUAGUCUCAUAUAUAUUAUAUGUUAUAACUUCAGCCAUUUUAUCUUAAGCUGACAAAGUGAACGGUUGAGUAAAAAACAAAGUAAAGGCAGCAAAGGAGGAGCUGAACAUUGAACUACAUCUCUGAACGUCCCUCUACACUGAGCUUGUGCUAAUCGCUGGUUGGAGCCGUGAUCCGGUGGCGCCGGCUGCUGAGCUGCAGAUGCUCAGAUGCUGCUGCCUCCCUGGGGUUCUGGUUGAUGAGGUGCAGUUUGUGCCGUCAUGACGUUUUUUGUGUCAGUUUUUCUGCUAAGUAAAUUUAACAGUUCUGGUGAUUCACUCAUUUGUAACUUAAUGAGAAUAUUUCUCGAACAAAACAUCUUUCAUUUAAUCAGUAGUUACUCAAGGUGAAAAGGUUUCAAACCAGGAAAAAGCUGCUUAAUAAUUUCGUGCUUAAUUCACGAAAACGUUUUGCGUGAGAUUCCUAAACAACACAGGGAAAUCUAAUCACGCAGGGUUCACUGGCGUGUUAAUUUCAUCAAGUGGGUAAAUUUAUACUCUAUCAAAGCCUCCGGCCUCCAGACCAAGGCUUCACUCUAAUGUUAUAGCAGCUAUCUGAAAGGCAUCUGAACAGCAGCAGAGGCCGUAGAGGGAGCGGCUUAUCAGCCUUUGGAGGGGCCAAUUACAGGAGACCCACUGAGGACAAGGAGGAAAGAGACGUGUGCUGGACUGAAUAAAUGCCAGAAGGUAAUGAAAAAUGCAAAUAGGUGGCAGGAGAUACAGUCCCUCUCAGGUGCCUGAGCUUCUCGCUGGAUCAAAACAGUCUAAUUAGGAUCAAUUAUGAAGCAGGAGUGUUUUUCCUCAGGUCUGAAUCAGACUUGCUUCACAGGAGCGGUUCUCCUCACACUACUGGAAAAAUCCUCACAAACAACCAACCAAAAAAAAAAAAAUAAUAAAUUAUUUAUA